AAGUCGUAACAAGGUAACCGUAGGUGAACCUGCGGUUGGAUCAUUACUGAUUCGUAAAACGCUUUGACCUUUUGGGGAUUGGCCCAUCGAGUUUACUCUGUAGCCAGUCUCGGAGAGGUGAUUGAAGCUUUUGUUGAUUAUAACCGUUCCCAAGGAAACUUGGGAGAUUCGGAAAUCCCUAUGGAUGGAGGUGUUACAGCCAACGUCUGAUAUAUUUUUCAACCCGGGGUGACACCCAGUACAAGCGUAAGUUUGUCAAACCUCCUGUUCCCUAGUCACCAAUGCGUUUCGUUUCUGAAAUGUGUUAAAAACUUAAUACAA
rnacentral:misc_RNA from 1 species